AUUGAACGCUGGCGGCAGGCCUAACACAUGCAAGUCGAGCGAGCGGCGGACGGGUGAGUAAUGUAUGGGGACUGCCCGAUAGAGGGGGAUAACUACGGGAAACGGGGGCCAAAACCGCAUACUAUCGGAUAACCCAUAUGGGAUUAGCUAGUAGGUAAGGUAAUGGCUUCCCUAGGCAACGAUCCCUAGCUGGUCUGAGAGGAUGAUCAGCCACCCUGGUACUGAGACCCGGCCCAGACUCCUACGGAGGCAGCAGUGGGGAAUAUUGCACAAUGGGCGAAAGCCUGAUGCAGCCAUGCCGCUUGUAUGAAGAAGGCCGUAGGGUUGUAAAGUACUUUCAGUCGGGAGGCGUUACCGACACAAGAAGCACCGGCUAACUCCGUGCCAGUAGCCGCGGUAAUUC
rnacentral:rRNA from 1 species